rnacentral:rRNA from 1 species
CGUUCAGGCGGUUUGGCAAGUCGGGCAUGAAAUCUCCUGGCUCAACCAGGAGAGGCUGUCCGAUACUUCCAGACUUGAGGGCAGUAGAGGGUGGUGGAAUUCCGGGUGUAGUGGUGAAUGCGUAGAUAUCCGGAGGACACCUGUGGCGAAGCGGCCACCUGGACUGCUCCUGACGCUGAAACGCGAAAGCUAGGGGACGAACG